rnacentral:rRNA from 1 species
GCAAUAACCUUAGCCUAACCAAAACAAUAAACCCAAAUAAACAAAAUUAUCCUACCAAAACCAACCAAAACAUUUUUCACGAUCCUAGUAUAGGCGAUAGAAAAGAC